rnacentral:rRNA from 1 species
AGAGUUUGAUACUGGCUCAGAACGAACGCUGGCGGCAUGCCUAAUACAUGCAAGUCGAACGAGAUCUUCGGGUCUAGUGGCGCACGGGUGCGUAACGCGUGGGAAUCUGCCCUUGGGUUCGGAAUAACAGUUGGAAACGACUGCUAAUACCGGAUGAUGACGUAAGUCCAAAGAUUUAUCGCCCAAGGAUGAGCCCGCGUAGGAUUAGCUAGUUGGUGAGGUAAAGGCUCACCAAGGCGACGAUCCUUAGCUGGUCUGAGAGGAUGAUCAGCCACACUGGGACUGAGACACGGCCCAGACUCCUACGGGAGGCAGCAGUAGGGAAUAUUGGACAAUGGGGGCAACCCUGAUCCAGCAAUGCCGCGUGAGUGAUGAAGGCCUUAGGGUUGUAAAGCUCUUUUACCCGGGAUGAUAAUGACAGUACCGGGAGAAUAAGCCCCGGCUAACUCCGUGCCAGCAGCCGCGGUAA